UUUGGGAGAUGAUGAUGAAUGAAUUUAUCAGAUGCUACUGUUUUAAGGUGGCUUUGCUGAUUAAAAUAUAGAAUUUGCAUGUCAGUCUGAUCCCUAA